rnacentral:rRNA from 1 species
AUUGAUCGCUGGCGGCAGGCCUAACACAUUCAAGUCGAACGAGUGGCGGACGGGUGAGUAAUGUCUGGGAAACUGCCUGAUGGAGGGGGAUAACUACUGGAAACGGUAGCUAAUACCGCAUACCAUCGGAUGUGCCCAGAUUGGAUUAGCUAGUGGGUGGGGUAAAGGCUCACCUAGGCGACGAUCCCUAGCUGGUCUGAGAGGAUGACCCGCCACACGGGAACUGAGACACGGUCCAGACUCCUACGUGAGGCAGCAGGGGGGAAUAUUGCACAAGGGGCGCAAGCCGGAUGCAGCCAUGCCGCGUGUAUGAAGAAGGCCGGCGGGUGGUAAAGUACUUUCAGCGGGGAGGCGUUACCCGCAGAAGAAGCACCGGCUAACGCCGUGCCAGCAGCCGCGGUAAUUC